UCUAGAAUGGCAGAUAGAUGUAUAGGAUUUAAGCUCCUAAUAGGAAGUUAAUCUUCUUCUAGAA
rnacentral:tRNA from 1 species